GAGUCUGUGGCUUGGUGGGUAGAGCACUGGUCUUAAAAAUUAGAAAGAUGCAGGUUCA
rnacentral:tRNA from 1 species